AGGUCUGAAAAAUUCUCCCAAAGGUGGUCUGGUCCAAUGUCCUCUUUCUUGAACCUUUGACUUCCUCGUGUACUGAGAUUGGAGCCAACGUUGAGCCAUGAAGGCUCUUUACCUUCUCCUGCUUGUUGUCUUCUUGGCUUUCCGGGUUGAGAGCAACCCAAAACCAACAACUCAGGCGGAUGUAAAGGUCCCUGAAGGUCCUGCUAUUCAAGCUGAUGAAGACGACCUUAAGGACGAACCAGCUCAAAAGUUUCGAGCAAUUCGGAGAUCUUGCUCUAAUGGGAGAGGGUAUUGCCUACCCCGGCAAUAUUUCUGUGCUCUCGGUUUAAUGUUCAAGGAGGAAUACAACGACUGCCCCCAAAGGGGGAGAAACAAAUGCUGCCUGGCAAGAAGAACUGGCUAAGAUGCUGAAAUCUUUGGGAAGAAUUGAUUCAGGAUUCUUCGAUUAACAAGAACAACCUGUUGUUCGACAUUUAAUAAAUUGUCUACUGAGUGCA